rnacentral:lncRNA from 1 species
CGCGCGACAAACCCAAACCACGGAGAAGGGUGAGGCGCGCGACAAACCCAAACUGUUGAGAAGGGUGAGGCGCGCGACAAACCCAAACCGCCGAGAAGGGUGAGGCGCGCGACAAACCCAAACCGUCGAGAAGGGUGAGGCGCGCGACAAACCCAAACCGUCGAGAAGGGUGAGGCGCGCGACAAACCCAAACCGCCGAGAAGGGUGAGGCGCGCGACAAACCCAAACCGCCGAGAAGGGUGAGGCGCGCGACAAACCCAAACCGCCGAGAAGGGUGAGGCGCGCGACAAACCCAAACCGUCGAGAAGGGUGAGGCGCGCGACAAACCCAAACCGCCGAGAAGGGUGAGGCGCGUGACAAACCCAAACCGUUGAGAAGGGUGAGGCGAGUGACAAACCCAAACUGUUGAGAAAAGUGAGGCACGUGACAAACCCAAACUGCCGAGAAAGGUGAGGUGUGUGACAAACCCAAACUGCCGAGAAGGGUGAGGCGCGUGACAAACCCAAACUGCUGAGAAAAGUGAGGCGCGCGACAAACCCAAACUGCCGAGAAGGGUGAGGCGUGUGAUAAACCCAAACUGCCGAGAAAGCCAUCUUGGGGCAUUAAUGUUCUAACUGAAGGAGGUUCUCAGACCACAGAACUGAAGCAACAACGGUCACAUCCUUUCCCUUCUGUGUCUCAGCCGCAGUGUGGGUGUGAACAAGAAACCCAAGCAGCAUCCUCAUCCUAUCUGCAGCUACGAUGAGGACUCCAACACUUCCUCAACCACAUGACCACUCGGAUUCAGGUGCUGAAGAAGCACUUGUUUAAAAUAGCUAAAUUGUGGCUCCUGAAUUAGCUAUGCCAACUAUUUUCAGUUACAAGUCUUCACAAUAUUUUAUUAAAGUAUUAAGUCAAUGAUUAACACUGAGAAUAAAAAAAUAUUUGCCCUUUCUUUA